GCGAAAUGGACGUGUAGCAUAGGUCGUUCCGCGUGUCGCAUUAAUCCACGAAAAUUAAAUACAUAUCUACGAAUUGAUAGUCAUAAUUUACCGUGAACAUGUCGAAGCGACUGCCGUUCGUCGAAGUUAGGUGAUCGGUGCAUGACCUUUAAGAUUGUUUUGGCACGAAAGGCGAGCGAUCGGGCCACUUUAUGCCAAUUACUGCGCAGUCAUUCCGUUAUCGAGGCUCGUAUAGACGAUAUUUUCCCUCUCACCUUGAUGAGAGGGCUCAAUACCCGGA